UUUUGCAGAAAUUGAAAUAAGGUGUUGGCAACGUUGUGGAAGUGCCUGCGCUGUUGUUGGGAAGUUUUCGAGCCUUUGCUGUUGUAAGAGCAAGUAUUUUGGGAAAUAUAUAGCAGGAAAAACUAAUACGGAUUGUUGGUACGUGUCAACAAUAACAGCAACAAACAUUGGAAAUUCUGCUAUCAAAAGUUUGUUUAGCCAAAUCAGCGGUGCAGACACGUCGCUCCCAAUUCAUCCCGUCACUUUAAGCGCUGAGCUUGGUAUUGUUUUGCACAAUUUCUGUGUGCAUCAAUCUUAAUUGAAUUGAAUUGUACCUGAAUGCAUGUACAUACAAACAUAUACAAUUCUUAUACAUAACUCUUAACGUGAAGCAGUGUGUAUGUGACUACAACAAACAAUAUCAACUUUAAACAAUUGAUUUGUCGUAAAAGAAAGACAACGCAUAACACACGUGUAGGACACAACAUUGUGGAAGGAAAACAAUUGUGUUUGUUAGUGUCAGGAUAUUUGCUAAUCACACUUUUGCUUGUAUCAACUGUUAGUUGGCUAUUAUUGUGGUUAAACGAAAGCAACAUGUCGAUUGCGCCAGUGAUAAUUGAGGCAACCGCCAAACAUACGUCAACCCUCAUCUUCAUGCACGGCUUAGGUGACACUGGCCAUGGAUGGAGUUCAGCGUUGGCGACAAUACGUCCGCCCAGCAUGAAAGUAAUCUGUCCAACAGCACCCACAAUGCCGGUGUCACUGAAUGCCGGCUUUCGUAUGCCUUCUUGGUUUGAUUUACGUACGCUCGAUAUAACGGGUCCCGAAGAUGAGGAGGGCAUCAAAAGUGCUGCUCAAAAUAUAAAAAGUAUGAUUGAUGACGAAGUCACCAAAGGUAUAGCAUCGAAUCGUAUUGUGCUGGGUGGUUUCUCACAGGGUGGUGCAUUAGCAUUGUAUACAGCGCUAACAUACAAUCAACCACUGGCUGGUGUUGUAGCGCUAUCCUGUUGGUUGCCAUUGCACAAGCAAUUUCCAGGCAUGAAAACCAACUCCGACGAAAUGCCAGUUUUUCAGGCACAUGGUGACUUCGAUCCUGUUGUACCAUACAAGUUUGGUCAAUUAAGCGCUAGUUAUUUAAAGACAUUUAUGAAGAAAGUUACAUUUAAGACAUACAAUGGGCUAUCACAUUCCUCAUCGGAUGAUGAAAUGGAUGAUGUGCGGGAUGUACUGGCCUCUUGGGUAAAUUAAAUUGCAAAAUUAUUAAAAUACAAUACACUAGUAAACAAAAUGAACAUACAUAUAAUUAGUGUGCAUAGUUAAGCGCAGUGGUGACAGUAGAAAAAGUGAUACUUCAACGGUGGAUGCUAGCGGAAAUGCCACAGCUCAAUGCUGUCUAAUAUCAUAGUAGCAAAUCUGUGAUUUUCUUUGAAGAUUUAUGUGAUGAUAAUGUUGAAGAUGAGUAUGAGGCACAAACAAAAACACAUUUUUAUUAAUGCAACAAAACUGCAACUCGUAAACUCAUAAACAUGAAACUAAUAACUAACGUGAAAAUAUAAUAAAGGUGAAAACUUUAAUUUAAGGUACAUAUAUAACAAAGCAGCAACUCAAACAACUCAAAAAUACAUUUUUUUUGCAAAUAGUUUAUUCAAAGUAAUGAAUGAAUUAAUAAUUUUCCACACGAAUUCGGCGUGUAUUUUUACAAGCACGCUUAAAGAAAAACUUAAAAAAACAUUUACUGAUUUUUGCACGUUUUUACAUUUGGCGCAAUAAAUUUUAUUUAAUUGUUUUUUUAGGAGUAGUCAAAUGUAGACCGUAAUUUCUGCUGUUACUAGUUGUUAAACUGAAACUUAUACCUUUAACGUAUAACGUAGCGUGACUGAACUAUAUUAUUACAAUAUAUAUUAUAUAAUUACUAUUAGAAGUAGCUAAAUGUGAAGCGAAAAAGAGGUUAGAAAAAAAAAAACACUAUGAAAACUAAGAAUAAUGAAAUUGAAGUAAAUAAUUAAUAAAAUACAGAAAUGCAAUAUAUAAAAUACCACAAA